rnacentral:lncRNA from 1 species
UUUUUUUUUUUUGAAUGUUAACAUUUUACAGUUCAAAUCACUUAACAGAUGUAAAAUUAUGGGUUAUACUUAGCAUUAGUUUUUUUCCCCCCAGAAAUUAUUAACUAAAGAAGAUCUUUCUGGAAAACACAUCUGAUGGUUAGAAUUUCUUGAUGAUGAUGACAAGAACACGCUCCUUUUACUAAAUGGGAAUGUUUGUUUUACCCAAUCUCACUUUCACCAGCGUACCCCAUAGCUGAUACAGGUUUACAUAAGGUUAACUGGGCGUUUUGAGGCAUUAACCAUACACAUUUCGAAGCCUAGGCAUUAAGUUGUCUUAGGUGACUAGUCAAGAAAUGUUAAUGAGACACUAAGGCAGGGAUUGAUAUCAUACCCAAGAGAAUAUUCCUGAAGGGAAACAGUCAGGGUAAGACAAGGCCGAUGACAUCAAAGAAAGUUCCAGAUCUCAGCUCAAAGGUGAUGAUGUGGGGGUAAGUGGGGCAGAUGAUGUCAGCAAACUCUCUGAGCGGGUCAAAGUUGAGGGCGAAAUGGAUAAGGAAUCGAUAACUGGCUGACUGAUGACAAAUCUGGUGGGGGAGAGUUGGGUAAAGAGCGGCUGUUCAGAAGGCAGAGAAGGAAAGGCAAAGGGCACGUGAUACUGUUGCUAAAUACAUCUCCAAACUCUUAUGAGAGGUUUGGGAACAUGAGAUGGGAGAGAAGAGAGUCAUGUGGACCUCUGGCAGCCAGGGACGCAGGAGGUCUGGAGAGAUACGCACCAUAUAAACCUCUCACUUCUUUAACCUCCGUUUCCUCAGCAUUAGUUUGAAGUUUGUUCCAGGUGGCUUCUGAGCUUAAGAUAAUUAUUUGAAGGAACAACAUCAACAUCAAAAAACCCAAACCAAAACAAGACCUUCUCCAGUGGAGAGACUUAAAGUAUUCCAUACAGACAAAAAAGCCUUAUCCAGUGCAUUCUAGAAGCUUCACCCAGCACCUGACUCUGGUUUGCCUGACUACCAAGUGAGAUCCCUUUGUCUAUCAAUGCUGGGUUAAAGAUGAUCAAUGCCCAGACAUCAUGUAAAUCAAGGAAGAAAACAAUGCUUUGGAAACUGAGUACUGAGCCAAGGGAAGGGGACAACUAUGUUCUAGAAAAAUCUUAAUAAGUCAACUCGGAGUCCAGCUUCCCUUUUAGAAACAGCAUGCCAAUAACGAUCCACUUCAUGGCUGUGUACGUCUUGGGCUGCAAGAGGCUGACAAAGCAUUUGGGUCUUACAUAUUACAGUCAAAAGAAGGAAGUCGCCAUUGUGCUACACUGGCUAGCUUGCCACGGAGUUAACUCUUUCAGUGCAGAGGCGUCCUGUUAGCUUCUCCCCCAGGGGAGGGAAAUAGGUACCUGUCUAUGUGUUAACAGAUCAGCCUCUUUGAAGGCACAGUUCUCAAAAAUAGACUUACUGUAUCCCACCACCAAGGACAGCUCAUGUUUUCUCUUUGCUUGAAGUGCUGGCCCUAACUGUCAGCUCUCAUGUCCCUUGGGAUGCAGAGUCAGAAUGUGAGACUUGGAACAUCAGAGCCAAAAAGCCACCUCUGAGCGGUUCAGAGGCAAGGUGGGAAGGGGUAGGGGAGAGAAAAAACAACAGC